rnacentral:rRNA from 1 species
CUUGGUCAUUUAGAGGAAGUAAAAGUCGUAACAAGGUUUCCGUAGGUGAACCUGCGGAAGGAUCAUUAGUGAAUUAAACAUGCUUGGUGUCUUCGUUUCGGCAAGGCCCUUGCUUAAAUCACAUCCUAACACCUGUGAACUGUAAGACGUAUGAUGAGGUCUUUGGCCAAGUCAUCGUCUGCCCUUUUUUAACAAACAAUUAAUGUAACAAACGUAGUCUUAUUAUAACCUAAUAAAACUUUCAACAACGGAUCUCUUGGCUCUCGCAUCGAUGAAGAACGCAGCGAAAUGCGAUAAGUAAUGUGAAUUGCAGAAUUCAGUGAAUCAUCGAAUCUUUGAACGCACCUUGCGCUCUUUGGUAUUCCGAAGAGCAUGCCUGUUUGAGUGUCAUGAAAAUAUCAACCUUGACUUGGGUUUUGUGCUCUAGUCUUGGCUUGGAAUUGGGUGCUUGCCGCUUUUACGAGCGGCUCACCUUAAAUGUAUUAGCUGGAUCUGUCUUUGAGACUUGGUUUGACUUGGCGUAAUAAGUAUUUCGCUAAGGACAUUCUUCGGAGUGGCCUCGUUUCUAGGACGCUUGUCCGCUUCCCAAUACAAGUUCCACCUCGUGGACAUGACUUUUUUAUUAUCUGGCCUCAAAUCAGGUAGGACUACCCGCUGAACUUAAGCAUAUCAAUAAGCGGAGGA